UAGGUAAAUUUAUUUAGGUAAGUUAAUUGAGAGUGUUCGUAGAUAUGGUUUUCAAAUGCGAGUUUAGGAUUCCGUAGCCGAA